rnacentral:sRNA from 1 species
AAAAAUACAAAAACAA